GCCGCGGUAGCUCAAUUGGAAGAGCAUCGCACGUGAAAUGCGAAGGUUGUGGGUUCGGUUCCCGCCUGCGGCA
rnacentral:tRNA from 1 species